rnacentral:rRNA from 1 species
UAGGGAAUCUUCCACAAUGGACGCAAGUCUGAUGGAGCAACGCCGCGUGAGUGAAGAAGGUUUUCGGACCGUAAAGCUCUGUUGUUGGUGAAGAAGGAUAGAGGUAGUAACUGGCCUUUAUUUGACGGUAAUCAACCAGAAAGUCACGGCUAACUACGUGCCAGCAGCCGCGGUAAUACGUAGGUGGCAAGCGUUGUCCGGAUUUAUUGGGCGUAAAGCGAGCGCAGGCGGAAGAAUAAGUCUGAUGUGAAAGCCCUCGGCUUAACCGAGGAAUUGCAUCGGAAACUGUUUUUCUUGAGUGCAGAAGAGGAGAGUAGAACUCCAUGUGUAGCGGUGGAAUGCGUAGAUAUAUGGAAGAAUACCAGUGGCGAAGGCGGCUCUCUGGUCUGCAACUGACGCUGAGGCUCGAAAGCAUGGGUAGCGAACAGGAUUAGAUACCCUUGGUAGUCCAUGCCGUAAACGAUGAGUGCUAAGUGUUGGGAGGCUUCCGCCUCUCAGUGCCGCAGCUAACGCAUUAAGCACUCCGCCUGGGGGAGUACGACCGCAAGGUUGAAAC